rnacentral:rRNA from 1 species
UACGGAGGGUGCAAGCGUUAAUCGGAAUUACUGGGCGUAAAGCGCACGCAGGUGGCUGAGUCAGUCGAUUGUGAAAGCCCUGGGCUUAACCUGGGAAUUGCAGUCGAUACUACUCAGCUAGAGUAUGGGAGAGGGUAGUGGAAUUCCCGGUGUAGCGGUGAAAUGCGUAGAUAUCGGGAGGAACAUCAGUGGCGAAGGCGGCUACCUGGCCCAAUACUGACGCUGAUGCGCGAAAGCUAGGGGAGCAAACGGG